GGGGGAUAUUGCACAAUGGAGGGAACUCUGAUGCAGCGACGCCGCGUGAGGGAAGAAGGUCUUCGGAUUGUAAACCUUUGUCCUUGGUGACGAAACAAAUGACGGUAGCCAAGGAGGAAGCUCCGGCUAACUACGUGCCAGCAGCCGCGGUAAUACGUAGGGAGCAAGCGUUGUCCGGAUUUACUGGGUGUAAAGGGUGCGUAGGCGGCUCUGCAAGUCAGGCGUGAAAACUAUGGGCUUAACCCAUAGACUGCGUUUGAAACUGUGGGGCUUGAGUGAAGUAGAGGUAGGCGGAAUUCCCGGUGUAGCGGUGAAAUGCGUAGAGAUCGGGAGGAACACCAGUGGCGAAGGCGGUCUGCUGGGCUUUAACUGACGCUGAGGCACGAAAGCAUGGGGAGCAAAC
rnacentral:rRNA from 1 species